rnacentral:tRNA from 1 species
GGGGAUAUAGCUCAGCUGGUAGAGCAUCUGCUUUGCAAGCAGAGGGUCAGCGGUUCGAGUCCGCUUAUCUCCACCA